CAAACAUGUUGCUAACCAUUUUUCAGUUUUCGCCUGUUCUGAGGCUCCCACUCUUGAAGUCGUUGCUAUAUGGAGAACAACAUAAAUGAUAUCAUACAAGGACAAUAAUAUUUUAAAGCAUGCCUAGAACCUCAAUUUCCCUUUGCUUUUCAAACUAUAUUUUCAGAACUCUUUUCCGGCAAUUUAACAAGCCUAAGGGUACCAGCACAUAAUUGUACAUAAAUCUUUGGUUUUCUGCAUAAAUUGCAAAAGUUUUCCUAGAACCCUCUUUCAGAAAUUUUAAUAAAUUUGAGGGUAUUGCUACGCAAUUUCUAUAAAGAUUCCGGUUUUUGUUGAAAUUAACUUUUGCAAGCUUUUUUUUGAAAAAGUUUUCAGCAAAAGUUUUGCAGCUUUAAUUUUCAAUAAAUUUGACCUCCCUUUUGGAAAACUGAUGAAAGAGAUGGACUAUUUUUGUAAUUUUAGGUCUUAAGUAUAAAUACCCCUCCAAACGAGUUUUUCCCAUUUCACCGUCUGAUCCUAUCUCUCUUCUCACGAACUUCUCUCCCCUCUUCACGCAAAAAAACCCUUCUACUAGGGUUUCGCCCGCCGUGCCGCCCCUCUGUUACAAUCUGUUCUUCUCUCUUCCAGGAACUUGCUUUCUGUGUCUCUCUCGCACUUCUUCUGUGGGAUCAACUUCGGUCUGAAAAAAAAAAUGGUGAAGAAGGAAGGAGGGACGCUAGGGCGGCGAGGGUGCUGGAGGACCUGAUAGAGUGGGCAGGCGGAUGCGCGGUGGUGGAGAGAGGGUUUGCCACCUGGCUGGAACACCAUGGCGUGGCGCUAAUAUCAACGACCCAUUGUGAAGCACCUCCUGCCUGAUCACCAAUCCCGAACACAUCAAACAGAUUACAGACAUCAAAAAGCCAGACACAACUUACUUUGAUUCGUCAAUCCUGCGCUCUGAUACCAAUGUUGGAACUGUGACGUUCCACCCAGGAUCUCAACGCUCACCUAGGAUCUCAACGCAGAGGCUUGCCUGCAACUUAAUCCUGCACAACAACAAAAACAACAAAAACGAGAGAGAGAAGAAAAAGGAACCAAGAACAAAGAUUUUCAUGGGUUUGCUUCUAGGAGGCGCAGGUUAAGUUAAUCUUACAAUUUCUCCCUAAGCAGAGAAUAAGCUGAGCUUUUAUAGACCGCCUCCUAGGGUUUCCCAAUGCCCAGCAAUGGACAGUUAUGGCUAAGAAAUUAAUUCUCUUAAUUAGUGGCAGUUUCCUUAUUUAAGCUUGUAACUGCAAGAUAUCCAGAUAGGGCUCAAUGGCCACUAUCCAACAUGCGCCCCAUGUGACGGAGGGCGUGAACAACCGGCGGACUGAAAUCAUUCGGUCAAGGUGUUAGCUCAUUCCCUCUCCAAUGGACAGCAACACGCGAGCGGAUCUCCCUUGUUCCAUUUAAACCCCCAUCAACGAAGAAAUGAGCAGCAUUCGAUCAUCUUAAAAACUUACAGAGCUCCGUCGGUCGGAAUCUCUCGAUCUUCGGCUGCCGUUGCUCUGAAACAGAGUAUCCCGACAGCUCUGUUCAAACAGACGCCAUGGUUACCACCAACAUCCAAAUGCCACCAAAGUGCUCAUGUCAGUUCCUCAUUUUCUUGUGGUUCUGAUGAGCCCCAAGCUCGAUUGGUGCUCUGACUUCUAUUGGGCGGAACCAUCAGAUCUCCUGCCGCCGAUCUGCUUCCUGUAGAACCCUUCCCCUAUUCACACAAGGCAAAGAGUUCCACCUCCCGUGACUGAUCAUCUGAGUGGCACUGUUACCUCCGACAACCAAUCGUUGUGAUAUUGCACAGACUGCACCGGCAGUGUGUUACGGUUCCAUUGGACUGGAGCUUGACCGGAGAAGUGGCCAGAGUCGGCUGGAAUAGCAAGUUUUUCAGCUACCUAUUUUUGUGACCGUUGUCCCUAUUACAGCAGGAUACAGCUCUACGGCCAUAUCUUCGAAUCUCGUUGUUCGGUAUUCACAAGAAUGGGCUUUAUGUCUUUCUGACUUCCUCAUGGUCCCAACGAGCCAUAGUACGUGAAGAUUCGAGAAGGGAAUAAAAAUCUGUAGAUAUGCAACGCAGACCCUGUCUUUUGGCAGGUUCAGACUGCGGGUUCUGUGACAGCCACAGAAAUAGUCCCUGGUCCACAGACAUUUCCAUCCAUACCCACCAAGGUUUCACUCUCUCGUUCGUUCCACACGUGCCUGACUUCUCCACGUUUUCAACGAGCUAUAACACAUCUAAAUCCGAGUUGUGAGCUGGGAGAAACGAGCCUGUGAAUAGAACCUGUCUACCGGUAAUCUCAGACCGUGACGCCUGCGACAACUAAGGAUACAUCCUGUUUCGUGGCCACUGUCAUACAACACAGUCCCUAUUCCAAGCAACUAACUGCCAUGCAUGAGAGCAAACGUCCUCAUGAUUCCAAUGAGCCUAAGUGCAUCUAGAUCCGAGCUCUGUGGAAGGAGUUCUAUUGCAGACUCUGUUGCGAAUUUCGCCUAGGCAUCUCAGGCAACCUCCCGACCUGCGGUGACUAUUGUCUCAGCUGGUGCUACAUUCCCCACUUUGCCCGACCCUGUUGCUAUCUCUCCUCGGCAUCCUAGGUAAACCGGUGGACGAGAGGCGCUGCUUUUUCAACAAUAUCCCUAGUCACCGGUGACCGCUCUAAGAUCUUUCGAAAUAAGAGUUCAUCUUCUAUAUCAUUCUCAUUAGAGGGAUCAUGAGAAGACCUCUUAGGGAGACAUCCUUAACACCGUGGAAGCUCACUUGGGAAGGCUUCAGGAUCAUUCAGAGAAGAAAUUUCACUCUUUCCAACUAGUCUAUUUAGAUAUAUGUAGUCAAUAUCUCAAUCAUUUUUUCUUUUAUUUCUUUCUAGUUUAUUCAUUUCCACAUAACUACACAAGAUAGUUUUAAAAUCUUUUCUUCAGUGUCAAAAACUAUGCUUGAGUGCAUCAGGAGCCUGAGCAAGGUAAAAUAAAAUUUUAUUUUUCUUUUUAGGAUUGAAAUAUGUUUCCUUUUUCUCUUUGUUCAUUGAAUGCAUGUAGUUUAUGUUUGAAAUGAUGUUUCAUGCAUAAGUUGAUUGAUUUUUCAAUUAAUCUAUGAACAAAUGGUAA